rnacentral:rRNA from 1 species
GCGUAUAUUAAAGUUGUUGCAGUUAAAAAGCUCGUAGUCGGAUGUCGGGCUCGGGCAGGCUGUCGGCUUCGGUCGGACGGCAGGCUCUGGUCUUUCUGCCUGAGGAUCCCGUUGCACUUUAUUGUGGGGCGUGGGGACGCAGGCCGUUUACUUUGAAAAAUUUAGAGUGUUCAAAGCAGGCCUACGCUUGAAUACAUUAGCAUGGAAUAAUGGAAUAGGACUUUGGUGUUAUUUUGUUGGUUUAUGGGACCGAAGUAAUGAUUAACAGGGACAGUUGGGGCCGUUUAUAUUUCGUUGUCAGAGGUGAAAUUCUUGGAUUUACGAAAGAUAAACUUCUGCGAAAGCAUUCGGCAAGGAUGUUUUCAUUGAUCAAGAACGAAAGUUAGGGGAUCGAAGACGAUCAGAUACCGUCGUAGUCUUAACCAUAAACUAUGCCGACUAGGGAUCAGUGGAUGUCAAUUUGCGACUCCAUUGGCACCUUGUGAGAAAUCAAAGUUUUUGGGUUCCGGGGGGAGUAUGGUCGCAAGGCUGAAACUUAAAGGAAUU